rnacentral:lncRNA from 1 species
UCUGUAGUGGCCAGCUUCGAUAAUGCACCGGCGGUGGAAUUGUUAUUGUGAUCGACUCCUUGAUAGCCUGCUAUACUGAUGUCCGAAAUAGAAUAUCCAUCUGCAUGCAAUACCCACGAACUCUGCUUCUGCCGAAGAACUGCAACGGCUUUGUCGGACUCCUCAGCUUCUCUUUAACUAUUAUCAGCUUUGGACCACAAUGUCAACCGACCUUGGAAAUAUUUACCAAAGUGUUUGGAUUUCCAGGAGUGCGGCUUAUAGAUCUGCUUUGGUGACGAGUCCUUCGCUGUUGGCGAGAACACUCAAGGCAGAGUGCCUUUUUUGUGUUCUCGGGUGAAUAUAUUCUUGAAUUACUCCCUCGUCUGCUUGCCCCAUAGUCCCGAGAACCCCUAGGAUGAGGUACCUUCUUCGGAUGCUUAGGAAUAUGGGUGCAUUUUGUGUGCUGAAUCUGAACCUGACAGCCUUAGAUGGGCAUCUCCGAAGACAAGUGUCUACAGGGCGGUGUGCCCUCAGUGGAUUCUNN